UGGCUCAGUUGGUAGAGCAUGGUGUUUGCAACGCCAGGGUUGUGGGUUUGGUUCCCAC
rfam:Salmo salar isolate Sally breed double haploid chromosome ssa24, whole genome shotgun sequence.